rnacentral:rRNA from 1 species
UCGAGAAUCAUUCACAAUGGGGGAAACCCUGAUGGUGCGACGCCGCGUGGAGGAUGAAGGUCUUCGGAUUGUAAACUCCUGUCAUCCGGGAGUAAGACCUGACGGUGAACAGCCGGCAGGGUGGAUAGUACCGGAAGAGGAAGGGACGGCUAACUUCGUGCCAGCAGCCGCGGUAAUACGAAGGUCCCAAGCGUUGUUCGGAAUCACUGGGCGUAAAGGGUGCGUAGGCGGUCUUGCAAGUCGGGCGUGAAAUCCCGGGGCUCAACCCCGGAACUGCGCUCGAGACUGCAAGGCUAGAGGAUCGGAGAGGAGACUGGAAUUCUCGGUGUAGCAGUGAAAUGCGUAGAUAUCGAGAGGAACACUCGUGGCGAAGGCGAGUCUCUGGACGAUUCCUGACGCUGAGGCACGAAGGCCAGGGUAGCGAAAG